rnacentral:rRNA from 1 species
UACAGAGGUCUCAAGCGUUGUUCGGAUUUACUGGGCGUAAAGGGCGCGUAGGCGGUCGUGACAAGUCACUUGUGAAAUCUCCGGGCUUAACUCGGAACGGUCAAGUGAUACUGUCGGACUAGAGUGCAGAAGGGGCAACUGGAAUUCUCGGUGUAGCGGUGAAAUGCGUAGAUAUCGAGAGGAACACCUGCGGCGAAGGCGGGUUGCUGGGCUGACACUGACGCUGAGGCACGAAAGCCAGGGGAGCGAACGGG